CUGGGCUGUAAUGAGAAGGGGGUUUUCCUGAGCACGAGCCAGAGGCCGGCAGAAUCUCAAUCAACACACUCAAAUGCCAGAAAGAUUACUCUAGCUGCUGGGUGGAGAAAGAAAUGUGAUGGAAAGACCGGGGUGAGAGACGCUGGUUAAGAAGGCUGCUGUGGGCAACCUGCGGGCAUCCAGGUACCUCUUCCCUGUGUCACCAUGCCAGGCUGACACAAGCAAAGUUGUCCCUGCUUACUCAGUCCAAGAGGAACCAUGCAGAUGGUGACCAGCGAGACGCACUGGGCUGUGUUUCUCAUACUCCAAUGUGUACCGGAAUCUCCAGGAGGUCUGUGUAAAAAUGC
rnacentral:lncRNA from 1 species